rnacentral:rRNA from 1 species
CCUACGGGAGGCUGCAGUAGGGAAUAUUGGUCAAUGGGCGAAACCCUGAACCAGCCACGCCGCGUGGAGGAUGACGGUUUUCGGAUUUGAAACUCUUUUUGUUAGAGAAGAUAAUGACGGUACCUAACGAUUAAGCACCGGCUAACUCCGUGCCAGCAGCCGCGGUAAUACGGAGGGUGCAAGCGUUACUCGGAAUCACUGGGCGUAAAGGGCGCGUAGGCGGGAUAGCAAGUCAGAUGUGAAAUCCUAUGGCUUAACCACAGAACGGCAGUUGAGACUGUUAUUCUAGAGUAUGGGAGAGGUAGGUGGAAUUCUUGGUGUAGCGGUAAAAUGCGUAGAGAUCAAGAGGAAUACUGAUUGCGAAGGCGACCUACUAGACCAUAACUGACGCUGAGGCACGAAAGCGUGGGGAGCAAACAGGAUUAGAUACCCGAGUAGUC